CCUUAGAGUUUGUUCCUGGCUCAGGACGAACGCUGGCGGCGUGCUUAACACAUGCAAGUCGAACGAUGAACCGCUUUCGGGCGGGGAUUAGUGGCGAACGGGUGAGUAACACGUGGGCAAUCUGCCCUGCACUCUGGGACAAGCCCUGGAAACGGGGUCUAAUACCGGAUAUGACUGUCCAUCGCAUGGUGGAUGGUGUAAAGCUCCGGCGGUGCAGGAUGAGCCCGCGGCCUAUCAGCUUGUUGGUGAGGUAGUGGCUCACCAAGGCGACGACGGGUAGCCGGCCUGAGAGGGCGACCGGCCACACUGGGACUGAGACACGGCCCAGACUCCUACGGGAGGCAGCAGUGGGGAAUAUUGCACAAUGGGCGAAAGCCUGAUGCAGCGACACCGCGUGAGGGAUGACGGCCUUCGGGUUGUAAACCUCUUCAGCAGGA
rnacentral:rRNA from 1 species